rnacentral:lncRNA from 10 species
AAAGUGAGAGAGGGAGGCAGAAGAGGAAGUCAGAGCGAUGUGCUGUGAAAUCUACUACCGUUUGCUGGUUUUGAAAAUGGAGAAAAAGAGUGAGGAACUGAGAAACAUGGAUGGCCUUGGGAACGUGGAAAAGGGUCACUGAAAUGGGACGACAUGAACUCAAGGAGGCUAUUUAUGACCAUGUCAUUUGCAACAUGAAGAAAGCUUAUCUGGAGUGAAAGUAAAUGAGACCAACAGAGAUGAGAGACCCGGAGAAAUCCUGGUUACACUGCUUGAAUCCUGUCAGUCCUAUACUGGAGUCCUGUUAAUACAAAAUAAUAGUAAUAAUCCCUCUGUUUCUUAUGUUUAUGCCAACUUCAACAAAAAGAAACUUGACUAAGAGACAAUAUAAGAAUUUAAUGUGUAAUUAAGAAAGAACUCUCCACCACGGGGAAUGUGAAAGGUAUAUGAGUCCCUUUUCACGAUGCGAUGUCAUGUCUUUUAAAUAAGCCAUACUUUAUGUUCAAUAAAAAGAGAAUAAGCAGGAUUCGCAAGAGAACACAAUCCCUUUUUAACUGCUGGGAAGAUACUUUUAGUCAUUAAUGACUGGACGACAAUUUGGGACACAUAUAUGGAUAUUGGCCGGUUUGUGAUGAUGUGAUUGGGCCUCUAAGUGACAACAUUGUUCCCUGUAUAGAGUGAGUGGCAAGUGCAUUUAUAAAAUUGGCCAUCAUGGCUGUUAAAUUUAUGAGUCUAGAAGUGUGCCUCUCAAACAAGUAUUUGAGAGGUUAUCAUGAAGAAAAACAAAAUUAAAAUUAUUCUGCUGAGCUCUCAAAGGCAGAACUAUUGAAUCAAAAUUAUAGGAAGGAAGGUUCAAACCAACAAUAAGAAUGCCUCUCUUGCAUUCCUCAUCACUAGAAGUUUCUGAUAAGAUUUUUAGAAAAAUUUAGACAGUAUUCUUGAAUUGAGCAGGGGGAUAACACAGAGAUAAUUCAAAUGUGGUUUGAUGAACUUCUAAAAUGGUUCCAACUAUAAACUUCAAUUAUUCUAGCCUCCAAGACCUACACAUAACUGUGCAAUGUGCAAAUUAUUCAAUAGUAACAUAGAAUUCUGAAUAAUUAGCAUUUUCUCAUGGUUUGAUAUUUGUAUAAAGCAAUCUUAGCAGUCUGAAUAACUAGAAUACUUCAAAGCAAUAUGUUUUAUUGCUUUAUAUUUAAAGAAACCAUGUCAGACAUUUAAAAUGAAUGGCUGCUAUCAGGAAAAUGGAUCUCAAGACACAAGAAAUAAAUCACAAUGACUUCCUUAUUUGUGGAAAUUCUUCUUGUACUAGAAAGGAAAAGUAGAAGUAUGGGAAAAUGUCUUCCAGAAAAUUACAUUUUCCCAAAGUUUAUUUUAAAUUUUAAUAAUUUAAUCAACCAUCUGAUUCUGAUUUCAAGUGUCACAGAAGUUCAUUUUAUUAUAAACAACAACAAAAAAACUUUGUAGUCUUGUAAACACUGGUGACAGAGAAUAACACCACUAACCAUGCUGAGCAGAAAACAGGAGCCAAGUAAGGGAAAAAGAUUCUUUAUGUCACUCAUCAAUUUAAAAGUGUUUUUCACCCCAGGACCAUCCUGAAGCCAAAACUGGGGAAACAUUUACUACUUUUACAAACAAAAAUUUAUAUUCCAUCCCUUGCAUGAUGUGUGUGUCUCCGACAUUUGGUUUCUGUCUUAAGUGUCUAAAGAAAGGCCUUAUUUAGAGCAAAAUACAUUUUUGUGGGCAUUGAUGUGAAUUUCAGGUCUGGGUUAUCAAUGACCUAAAUUGAGAAAAUAGAGGGGCUGUGUGGACAAGGAGAGAGAAGAGAGCAUACAGCUGCCCUAUGCCGUUGCUCUGUUCACAGUAAGGAUUGAGCCAUUCUAAUCCCCUUGGAUUUUUUAUCUACCAAAACAGCUUGGGCCCAUCAGCAAAUUGCAGUGGCAUAUGGUCCAGGUUUACGAGUAAUCUGGCACAUGAUUAAGGCAAGGGGGAUGUCAUCUUUCAGCAAAUACUGAAAAUAUUGUAGAAGAAUUUGGUAGAGUUUUUAAAUUCAAACUGAUAAAAUUGUAACUAUUAAAUACUUCCCCAAAUCAA